rfam:Acinetobacter nectaris CIP 110549 genomic scaffold adgTG-supercont2.1, whole genome shotgun sequence.
GGGGAUGUGGCGAAAUUGGUAGACGCACUGGAUUUAGGUUCCAGCGCCGCAAGGUGUAAGAGUUCGAGUCUCUUCAUCCCCA